rnacentral:tRNA from 1 species
UUUUUUAAAAUCAGUUUUUAAUUUGCAAUUAAAUUUAUAAUUUGAUUUUUAUUAAUAAAUUUAUGCGGAUUU